rnacentral:ncRNA from 1 species
UAAGAGUUUUAUUCUUGUUCAAUUAUUUAUUUUAGUUUUGUAUUAUAUGUAAAUUUUUGUAUAUUAUUUUAUUCUAAAUGAUUAUAAUGAUUUAUUUUUCAAUAAUAGGAAUUAUUAAUUAAGGUAACUUAUUUUAGUAAUAUUUUUUUAAUUUUGAUUAAAUAUGUGCCAGCAAUCGCGGUUAUACAUAUAAUGUAAAUAAAUAUUUUUGGUUAUGGUAGUUAAAUUGAUAGUUUUUGAUUGUAUAAAUUAAAUUGUUUGGUGGAAUUUUAAUUUAUAAAUAUGUUUAUUUAAUUGAUUUUGAGGCUGUGAAAUCUAAUUUUUAAACUAGGAUUAGAUACCCUAUUAUUUUAGAUUUAAAAUGAAUUAAUUUGAGUAGUAUUAGAUAUAGUCUUGAAACUUAAAGAAUUUGGCGGUACUUCAUUCUAUUUAGAGGAAUUUGUCCCGUAAUCGAUAAUCCGCGUUGAACCUUACUUAUAUUUAAUAUUAUAAUAUGUAUACCGCUGUUUUAUAGAAGAUCAUAUUAGGGUAUAAAUUUUCUUGAUUUUUUUAGUAGUAAAUAUUUCAAGUCAAGGUGCAGUUUAUGUAUAAGAGGAGAUGAAUUACAAUAUAUUAUUUAUUAAAUGGAUUAAAUUUUUAGAUAGAUUUAUGAAGGUGGAUUUAAUAGUAAUUUUAUUUAGAUUAAUUAAUAUGAAAUUAGUUCUGAAGUGAGUACAUAUCGCCCGUCGCUCUCAUUAUUUAAGGUGAGAUAAGUCGUAACAUAGUAGUUGUACUGGAAGGUGUAGCUAGAAUAAU